UCUGUUUUACGCGUGCCNNUUAAAGUUUGGUUCUGGCUCCGACUCAACCCUGUAGCCCGCCUCAGCACAUCAAGUCGAGCGGANACGAUCCUAGNNUUUUNANANCUUCGAGCGGUGCACGGCUGAGUAAUGCAUAGGAAUCUGCCCGGUAGUGGGGGAUAAUUUGAGGAAACUCAAUGCUAAUACCGCAUACGCCGUACGGGGGAAAGCAGGGGCUCUUUGGACCUUGCGCUAUCGGAUGAGCUUAUGUCGGAUUAGCUGGUUGGUGAGGUAACGGCUCACCAAGGCGACGAUCCGUAGCUGGUCUGAGAGGAUGAUCAGCCACAUCGGGACUGAGACACGGCCCGAACUCCUACGGGAGGCAGCAGUGGGGAAUAUUGGACAAUGGGGGCAACCCUGAUCCAGCCAUGCCGCGUGUGUGAAGAAGGCCCUCGGGUUGUAAAGCACUUUCAGCGAGGAAGAAUGCUUGUCGGUUAAUACCCGGCAAGGGAGACAUCACUCGCAGAAGAAGCACCGGCUAACUCCGUGCCAGCAGCCGCGGUAAUACGGAGGGUGCGAGCGUUAAUCGGAAUUACUGGGCGUAAAGCGUGCGUAGGCGGCUUGAUAAGCCGGUUGUGAAAGCCCCGGGCUCAACCUGGGAACGGCAUCCGGAACUGUUAGGCUAGAGUGCAGGAGAGGAAGGUAGAAUUCCCGGUGUAGCGGUGAAAUGCGUAGAGAUCGGGAGGAAUACCAGUGGCGAAGGCGGCCUUCUGGACUGACACUGACGCUGAGGUACGAAAGCGUGGGUAGCAAACAGGAUUAGAUACCCUGGUAGUCCACGCCGUAAACGAUGUCGACUAGCCGUUGGGGUCCUCGAAGACCUUUUGUGGGCGCAGUUAACGCACUAAGUCGACCGCCCUGGGGAGUACNNNAGGCCGCAAGGUUAAAACUCAAAUGAAUUGACGGGGGCCCGCACAAGCGGUGGAGCAUGUGGUUUAAUUCGAUGCAACGCGAAGAACCUUACCUACCCUUGACAUCGUGCGAACUUUCCAGAGAUGGAAUGGUGCCUUCGGGAGCGCACAGACAGGUGCUGCAUGGCUGUCGUCAGCUCGUGUUGUGAAAUGUUGGGUUAAGUCCCGUAACGAGCGCAACCCUUGUCCCUAUUUGCCAGCGAUUCGGUCGGGAACUCUAGGGAGACUGCCGGUGACAAACCGGAGGAAGGUGGGGACGACGUCAAGUCAUCAUGGCCCUUACGGGUAGGGCUACACACGUGCUACAAUGGCCGGUACAAUGGGUUGCAAAGCGGCGACGGGGGAGGUAAUCUCACACAUAAGGUCUCAGUAAGGGAUCCGG
rnacentral:rRNA from 1 species